AUUGAACGCUGGCGGUAGGCCUAACACAUGCAAGUCGAACGAGUGGCGGACGGGUGAGUAAUGUCUGGGAAACUGCCCGAUGGAGGGGGAUAACUACUGGAAACGGUAGCUAAUACCGCAUACCAUCGGAUGUGCCCAGAUGGGAUUAGCUAGUAGGUGGGGUAACGGCUCACCUAGGCGACGAUCCCUAGCUGGUCUGAGAGGAUGACCAGGCAACCUGGAACUUGUACACCGUCCAGACUCCAAGGGGAGGCAGAGUGGGGGAUUUUUGCACAAGGGGGCAAGGCUGAAGGAGCCCUGGCGGCUGGAAGAAAGAGGCCUUCUGGUUUGAAAGUUAUUUUCGGCGAGGGGCGUUACUCGCAGAAGAAGCACCGGCUAACUCCGUGCCAGCAGCCGCGGUAAUAC
rnacentral:rRNA from 1 species